UACGUAGGUGACAAGCGUUGUCCGGAUUUACUGGGCGUAAAGGGCGCGUAGGCGGCCUGAUAAGUAGGGGGUGAAAUCCUGUGGCUCAACUGCAGGGCUGCCUCCUAGACUGUCGGGCUUGAGCACGGUAGAGGCAGAUGGAAUUCCUGGUGUAGCGGUGAAAUGCGCAGAUAUCAGGAGGAACACCGGUGGCGAAGGCGGUUCUCUGGGCAUGACCUGACGCUGAGGCACGAAGGUCAGGGGAGCAAACGGG
rnacentral:rRNA from 1 species